CUCACAGUUAGACCUGGCAUGUGACUCUUUUGGUUGAUGAGAUAUAAUUUGAAGUGUUGUGUGGGACUUCCUGAAAGAAUGGAGUGUAGACCAUCUUUUCUCCCUUCUCCAUUCCACUACUUGAAAUGCAGAUGUGAUGGCUGGUGCUUUGGCUGCCCGUUUGGACCAGAAGCUGACCUCCGGUCUUGCAGAUGUUGCCAUCUUGCAGAGAAACUUGCAUGCUUUCAGCAAAACCCUCCAGCCCCAAGUGUCUACAAGUUACCUUGAACUGGUCUCCGCUCAGAUGUCGUUGAACUGGGAAGGCUUCCGGGAGACCCUCGGCUGCGUCAGAUGAGUCUGGAAUAGCACAUACCCUCUCCAUCUUCCAGAAGUGUGUUCCUGGUACAUGUGCCAUGGGCUAGAGUUUAAGAGGAAAGGAGAGACAAAGUUGGGGAAGAAACUGAACCAGCAAAUGUUUGGAGAGUUCCCAUUGAACUUGCCAUCAAGGCCAGCUUGGCCUUCAAAGACUGCUUUGUGGUCACAUCUGGGGAGAUGAUGGCGUCUUCUUCAUCCUCACACCUCAACGCCUGGCCCAGCCCCAGCUGGGAUUCUCCUCGCAGACGUUUGGGCAGAUAGUGGAGAAGGAAAGAGCUUCCCAGGUCUUCGCGAAGAUGGGACAUAACACAUCAAACCACAUCGUCACUGAGUGCUCUACAAAGAGAGGGCACAAGACUCUGACCUCCAAAAGGUGAGCCUUCCUGGCACCAGCCUUUCCCUUGCCCAGCCUCCUGUGGGAAAAGUUCUUCAUCUAGCAGCGUUACAUGCUAAUCCUUGAGGCAAGAGGCACCGUCCACUUUGCUGGUGACUCCGGAAGCUUCUUGCUUUUAUCCUCUGUCAGAUCACCAGACCUGGGCUGUGCGUGAUAUCUGGCUGACCCCGCAGUCAAGGAGCACAGAAUAUGCUUCCAAAAGCUGCCUGCUUAUGAAGGAAGAAAUCCUGUUUUCCCUGGAGCCUGGCUGGCCUCUGAGCGCUGUCACCACCAUGACUCUGCCAAGACAACUCACCUCUGUGUUCGUGCCCCCACCAUCUGGAUCCUCUUUGCACUGCUCGAGGGUCCGCCCUUCCUCCUGCCCCAUGGGCCUGCAGCAGAGGGUGCGGCAUCUCUGGGGUGGAAAUAGCUGGGGCUAAGGUCUGGGUGUGGCCGGUCUGCCCUCUGUGGCGCCUUGGCUCCAUGCUCUCUCUCAGAGCAAAGCGCCCUUCCUCCACUGCCAUCACUUCCCGGUGUCACUGUCUGCCAUGCCCGACAUCCGCCCUGAGCAUUGCCGCGUCUGAAUUUUUGCUG
rnacentral:lncRNA from 1 species